ensembl:lncRNA
AAUCCCUGGGGUGGGGGUGGGGGUUGCCUCUCCCUUGGGGCUUCUCCACGUGGCUCGCCGUGGGCACCCGCAGGGGUCCACCCCGGGCCGAGGAGGGGCGAGGUCCGCUAGAGCGGUCCUCCUCGCCCCUCACCCGUUUUUCUUUCCCCAGUUUGGUUUACCCAGCACUGUACUCUCGCUCUCGCUUCGCCUGGCGGCCCACCUCUGUUUCUUCUUUUCCUUCUUGUUCACCCACCAGAUGAAUGAAUGGAUGGGGUUUGUCUUCUGCAGGAUGCCGAAGUGAGCUGCUCUUUGGUUCUCGAGUGGAAACGGAGUGGGGAGGGUCCCUGGGAACGCAACUUGGGGGCAGUUUCAGAUGGUUCCCGACAGGCGAGAGGAGCAAAGAAAUUCACUCAUCCGGAAAGCAGAUCGAGAAAGCCAGUGUGGCCGGAGCUGCGAUUUCCCUGCAAGGGUCGCGGGAGGAGGGGAGGCGAUGCGAGUGUUCCUGUUUGCGUUCGCUUGCGCCAGCUUCUCCAGCCCCUCAAGCACAAAUGGGGAAAAGUCAGCUAGGAUUAUUGACUAGAAACACUACGUUAGAAGCCGGGGCUGCCCCAGCAACUGGACAGGUGCCAGCUCUGAUCUCCAGGCUGGGACCUGCAGGCAUACUUGGAGACAUUAAACCAUGAAGCAAAGAACCAAAACCUUUCACCAAUUUUAUUUGAUCUAGAAACAAUUAAGUAAAAGUGCUGAAGUCCAUGUUAUAUGGGGAACAGGAAACUUCAAAAUAAGCAGAGAAAGCUGGGGGCUGGUUUCCAUGGUAGCAGCUUGCAGUAAAGCCUAAUUCCUUGUGACAAAGAGGUCAUCUUCCUUUUCAAAUGUGUUUAUGAUCCCUUUGUGCAUUGUAUUUUGGCAUAAAGGCUUCUAUGCCCUGUCAGGGCUCCGCAGGCAGCUCUAUGACUCUCAAGGGGGUUUAUUGCCUCCUUGGUAUAAGAAUAGCAGAAAGAAGCCAAACUAGUGCCAGUGUGACAAAAGAUAACCUCACGGGCUUGCUGUUGCUUUCUUUCUGUUAACACAUAAAUCUUGCUAUGCACUGAAAUAAUUAAAAAAUGAGAGAUUCUGGGA